GCCAGUGAGCAUCCACAGGUUUCUGUAUUGUUUGCUUACAGAAGCCUUGAGGGGCUGGAACUCAGUAUAGCCACUGAAAGCCGGCUGUAGGGGCUGUUGAAGAUGGUUGUGUUGGAGAUGAGCCCACAGUAGUCUGGAGUCAAGGCACUGAAUCCUUGUUAACAUACUCCAUGGCCCACCAGGGGGCCCUUGCCCCAUCUUAGAAGACAACUGAGACAUUUUUCUAUGGCAGAAGCCUGACUGAUCCUUCCCUGUUCCUUCCUUCUUUGCUCUCCUGUGCAGGUGCUGCUGGGAACAUGACUGCUGCUAUCAAAAGUUAGAAGGAAAACAUGAAUCCAAAAUCCAAAAUUAUAGCUUCACCUACAAAGCAGGUGUUGUCACCUGUAACGAUUUGAACUUCUGUAAGGCUGAAAAUUGUAUUUGUAACAAGCUACUUGCUGAAUGUUUGAAGAAACACGUGAGCAGCUUCAGCUCUGAAUACAGAGGCUUUCCCCACUCCCGCUGAAGUGAGAAAAGAGUUCCGUGCCUAGCCUGAGCCUGUCAGGUCCCUUUCUUGUCCUUAUCACUUAUUUCUCCCCAGGCUUUCCAAACUCUGGGCUCCCAGAAUCCUCCAAGAUGGUCCCACAUCUCAGCUGUUAACAAACAAACAAAAAAAGAGGCUCCUGAGAUUUGGGGUGGGGGGUGGUAGUGAUCAUGAGACUUCGGGCUGGAAGAGGCUUUGGAAAGUAUUGAGGCCAGAGGUGUCCAACGUGGGGCCCAGGGGCUGAACCAGAUUAAAAUGUAAUUGGGAAAUAGAUCAACAAAACAAGUAAAAUACAGUCGAAUAUCAAUAUUGUUAACGUGUGGUUUCCUACGUCAUUAUGCUGCUGGCACGGCUCUUUAGGUAUGGUUUAGUGGCCCCACUUUUGAUAUCUGUUUGACCCCAUUUACUCUAGUCCAAACUUUUUGUUUUAUAAAGGAGGAAAGUGAAGUCCAGAGAGUCUCAGG
rnacentral:lncRNA from 1 species